UCCCUGGAGGACCAGUGGUUAGGCCACAGCGCUCUCAGUGCCAUUGCCCUGGUUCGAUUCCUGGUGGGGAA